rnacentral:lncRNA from 1 species
GUGUGUCAUUACACUUAUGGCACAUCUUAAUUUGAAUGUUAAAUUUUCAUUAGAAAUACUUGAUCUGUGUUUAGAUUUUAUAAAAUUUUCAUUUUAAAAAACUAUAUUCACAUACUCAAUCCAAACAUGCUUAAAUGUUUCACAGUAACUGAAUUGAAUAUUAGUUAUUAAUAUCAGUCGUUAAGUUAAAUUAAUUAAAAUUCAAAAAUUAAUUUUCUACACUGUACUAGCCAUAUUUUAAGUGUUCCAUAGCUUAUGGAGCUAGCAGCUACCACAUUGGACAACUCAGGUGUAGAAAGAAGCUUGUCCUGGUGCUAUAGCCGGAAAUAAGAGCAUGAGUGGAGGAAGUAUUCAAUUAGAAUUGUAUUUAUCUCAAUACACUGAAGAGCAGAGUUUCUUCACAUGGCCUGAAUGGGGAGGGUUUAGGUAACCAUUGAAGGUAUGGGCCGGUUGAAAAUAAAAGCUAGAAAGGUAAUAUUAAGAAAUAAUCAGAAAAGACCAGGAAUAUAUUAAAAGUGAGGGCAUGACUGGUGGAAGAAACCUGAUGGGUUUGAUCCUAACAAAGGGAAAAGCCUGCAAAUGCUUUAUUUAUGGUGGAAAACACCAGAGGGAUGCAGUAAGGAGCUUCUUCAAGAAAACGGGAUAAGAGUGGGGAAAAUAAGUUGUUUGGGGCUUGGCAGGUUACGCCUAUCUCCAGGCUGCUGCAUUUCAACCCAAGCCUGUGAGUGAAGGCAGGGCACCAGCAUGAUCUGGGAAAUUUCACCCAGUAGUUCCCAGAAAAGCAGCUUCCCUGCCUAAUGAUGGCUCAAACAAAAUCCCUAGCUCAUACAGGGCUUCCAACAGCAGAGGGAGUAAGUUUUUCCUUUGUAGAGAGAGAGAAAGAGAAAGAAUAAAGGAGAAUAAAGAUUUGUCUUUUUAUAUCUAAAAAGGUUACUUCAUAAGUUACCUGAGACAAGGGGAAGGUUCUGCUCCUUUUUUUUUUUUUUAAAUCCUUACCCAGCACGGUGCCUGAUAUAUGGUGUUUAUAGUUAGGUACUAACUGAGCUGAGGAAAUUAUGUUGAUCAACUCUUGAAUUAUUUUUUUUCCAAUUUUUAUAGGUGAAUUGUAAUUUUACAUAGUAGUAGGAUUUACUGUAUUCAAUAUAACGAUAUAAUUUGGUUGUUCCCUUUUCCCUCCUUCCUCCCUCUCCCUGGUCUAUUUCUUCU